rnacentral:rRNA from 1 species
AUUUUUUACUUUGCUCUAAUAAAAAAAAUUGUAAUUUGUUUACUAUGGGAUGGGAGCUAUGCAUUUUCCCAGCAUGAAAUUUUAAACAAUAUUAGAAAUAAUAAUUUAGUAAAUUUUUUUUUACAUAACAAAAAAGGUGCCAGCAGUUGCGGUCAUACCUUAAUGUAAUCAAUUUUUUCUUUAGGUAGGAUGUUUUUCCAAAAAACCAAAAUAGUGGUAAAAUACUUUUUGUUUAGUUUUUUAUACGGAUAGUUGUGUUUUUUCCAAAACUAAAUUUUUAAACUAGGAUUAGAUACCCUAUUAUAUGUAGUCUAAAUUUAUUACCUAAGCACUACGAUCUAUAAAUGAUUAAAACUUAAAGAGCAUGGCGGUAAGUUUUACUUUUAGGGGAACUUACCAGAUAAUAGAUAACACACAAGUUACUCAACUUACACUUAGUAGUUUAUAUAUUGCCGUUGUAAGGUUAUAUUUAAAAUAUAACCUAAAAUAUUCAAUAGUAAAAAAAACAGGUCAUGGUGUAGCUAAUGUGUAAGUCUUAAGGUGAGUUACAAUAUAUUUUCCAGAUAAGGUGUUAAAAUCACCUUAAAUAGGUGGACUUAAAAGUAAUUUUUAAAAUUAAAAACUGAAUUUAAAAAAAACUUGUGCACAAAUCGCCCGUCACUCUCGUUAAAAAAGGAGAUAAGUCGUAACAUAGUAGGGGUAGUGGAAACUGC